GGGGCUUUUGACAAAAUGGAGUGGAAUUCUUAUAUAGCUGCGAUGCAAGAUAGAUUUGUGUGUGGGGAAUAUGAAGAUCUCAUGGCAGACCUAGUUAAUUUGAAACAAUCUGGCAGUGUGGAGCAAUACCAUGAUGAUUUCAUGGGGAUCCUUAACCUACUGUAGUUGAGUGACGAUCAUGCUGUUAGCAUAUUCAUCAGUAACUUGAAGCCUGAUAUCUCACAAACCCUUAGACUCUUCAAGCCAAAAACACUGAACCAAACACAGCACCUUGACAAACAGAUUGAAGGUAUACUUUAUCCUGCCUUUAAAAAAACUAUUUCACCCACCAAACUUCCCAUGACCAAUAUCAAUUCCCAAGCAACUACGACAAACUUGAGGAACCCAUAGUUACCACCCUUAUUGCCUAACCCUAAAAUACCAUUUAGACCAAACCUUUUGAAUCUGCACAAUCCUAAACAACCAACACCUUUUCCAGAAUCAAACACUAGUAUAAACCAACACAACAAUCAAAGGAAUGGUCCUAAAAGGCUUACUGAGGCUGAAAUGGAAGAAAAAAGGAAGAAUGGACUAUGUUAUUGGUGUGGGGCUAAGUAUUUUUCGGACCACAAAUGCAUGAGGUCACAGUUGUACCAGUUGAUAACAGAAGGGUAUGAAGAGGAGGAAGACGUGGAGGAGUUUUCUGACUGCAUUGAUAGUACAAAAGCAUUAAAGUUGGAGAAUGCUGAUGACACUCAUGCAAUUAUCUCUUUACAUGCUAUGAUGGGAACAAUUGGGUAUCAGAGUAUGAGAGUUAAAGGUGUAAUCAAGAAGCAUGCAUUGGUUAUCCUAAUUGACUCAGAAAGUACACACAAUUUUAUGGACUCCAAUGUUGCCAAGACGCUGGUUUAGUUAUUAGCCAACAUUGUAAGAUUGUGGUUAUUGUGGCUAAUGGUCAAAGUAUAACUACUCGAGGUACUGGUAGAAAUGUGAACUGGUCAGUACCAUGGCUUGAUUUUCUCACAGAUUUCAUGGUACUGCCAUUGAAAGGGUGUGAUGUAGUGUUGGGAAUUCAAUGGCUGGUGACACUAGGUCCAUUCUUAUGGGAUUUUAUAGCUCUUACCACGCAGUUUCAGUAUGGUUAGAAUUGGAAAACAGUGGAAGGCAUUCGACCUCGGGUGAUACAGUCGCUAGAUGAUAAGCAAGCAUUGAAGGCCUUAUAAAAUUUAAUGACUGUUUCUGUCCAGCAACCUUGCACCUUGAUGAUGAUUGAGGGAGCCCAAUUGUUAAUAAAGAAAAGCGUGGAAGGACAGGGGUUAGAACCUGCUGAAAGACAAGAGUUAGAUCGACUGUUAAAUAAGUAUAAAGAAUUAUUUACAAAUCCUACAGGGUUACCUCCGAGUAGACCCUAGGAUCACAAGAUUCCCUUGAUGGAUGAAAAGCAGACAAUUAGGAUCAAACCUUAUAGAUACCCAGCUAUACAAAAAGACGAAAUAGAGAGGAUGAUCAAAGAAAUGUUGAAGGCUGGCAUUAUAAGAAACAGCAACAGUUCUUUUGCUUCUCCUAUUGUAAUGGUAAAAAAUAAGGAUGGUCUUGGAGGCAAUGUGUGGAUUACAGGCAACUCAAUCAUUUGACUGUUAAAGACAAAUUUCCUAUCCCUAUGGUUGAAGAAUUGCUAGAUGAGCUUAUUGGUGUUGAAUUCUUUACUAAGCCAGAUCUUAGGUCAGGGUACUACCAAAUCAGGAUGCAUGAGAAUGACAUACACAAGAUUGCAUUUUGAACUCAUGAUGGUCAUUAUGAGUUCCUAGUAAUGCCCUUCGGCCUGACUAAUGCCCCUUUUACAUUUUGAUGGCUAAUGAACUACAUCUUUAAGCCCCAUUUGAGAAAGUUCUUACUUGUAUUUUUUGAUGAUAUCCUGGUGUAUUUGCCCAGCUGGAAUGUUCACUUAAGCCACUUGGAGAAAGUGUUUGAGAUACUCAAGAACAAUUAGCUUUAUGUGAAGCAUAGCAAGUGUGAUUUUGGAGCUAAGAAAGUGAAGUACCUUGGCCACGUGAUUAUUAUUCAGGGGGUGGCAAUGGAUAAGGAGAAAGUGCAGUGUAUGCUUGAUUGGCCACAACCCAAGAAUCUUAAGGAACUAAGAGGAUUUUUUGGGUUGACAACGUAUUAUAUGAGGUUUAUGAAAGGGUAUAGGAUCAUAGCUAAAUCCUUGACUGAUUUAUUAAGAAAAGAUGCUUGUGGAUGGAAUGAGGCAGCUCAAAAAGCCUUUAAUGAGCUAAAGGUAGCUAUGACUACAGCAUCAGUGUUGGCAUUAGCAGAUUUUUCCAAAGAAUUUGUAGUGGAGACGGAUGCUUCUGGUAGUGGCAUGGGAGCAGUACUAACACAGAAUGGGAGGCCAAUAGCUUCUUUCAUCAAGUCAUUGGCACCUAAGCACCAGGCACUGUCGAUAUAUGAUAAGGAGAUGUUAGCUGUACUGUUGGCAGUCAAGAAAUGGAAUGCAAAUCUGGUGGCGAGACAUUUCAAAAUAAUAACUAAUCAUCAGAGUCUUAGGUUCUUAUUGAAUCAGCAAACUGUCACUCCAGUUCAACAGUUGUGGGUAGCCAAGAUGAUGGGGUAUAGCUAUGACGUGUGCUAUAAAAAAUGGGGCUCUAACAUUGUAGUUGAUGUUUUAUCUAAGAAACCAAAGAUGACUGAGGCUGUAUCAUUAACCAUUACUUCAGUAAACACUGAUAUGUUGGCAAGAAUUCUAGAGUCUUGGACUUAAGAUUCAGGGCUCCAAAAGUUGAUUGAGACACUGACCACAUCAGCUGUACCCAGUUCCAAAUUUACUUGGUUUGGUGGACAAUUGAGGAGAAAAGGGAAAUUGGUGGAGGGAAAUAGUCCAAUAGGGGAACAUUCUGAGGUUCAAGCAACAAUGAAAAGAGUUUACGGUGUUUUGUAUUGGAAGGGCAUGAAGAAAAAGGUCAGAAGAAUGGGAAGGGAGUGCGAGGUUUGUCAAAAGCAUAAGUAUGACAAUGCAGCUACACUAGGAUUAUUAUAGCCUCUACCAAUACCCGAAAGGGUCUAGUAUGAUAUUUCAAUGGAUUUUAUAGAAGGCUUGCCUAAGACUGGAAGUAAAGAUACCAUUUUGGUGGUAGUUGAUAGGCUAAGCAAACAUGCUCAUUUCCUAGCCUUGUCAUAUCCUUUUACAGCUUUGACUGUAACUCAGCUCUUCAUGGAUCAAGUAUACAGGUUACAUGGUAUGCCAAACAUGAUAGUGUCUGACAAAGAUAGAAUCUUCAUGAGCCAAUUCUAGUAAAAACUCUUUAAGAGACAGAGUAUCUCCCUGAAUGUAUCUACGGCUUACCAUCCUUGGUCAGAUGGGUAGACCGAGGUGGUGAAUAAGUGUCUGGAAUUAUACCUUAGAUACAUGAUGAGUGAACGACCCAGGAAGUGGAGCCAAUGGUUGGCAUUGGCUGAGUGGUGGUACAACACAACUUAUCACUCUGCCAUACAUACAACUCCUUAUGAAGCUAUGUAUGGUCAGCCUCCACCAGUUCACAUUCCUUAUUUAGCUGGUGACUCCGCGAUGGACAGUAUCAGAUUCUAAGAGCUCGAGAGGCUGCCAUUAAGAUGCUCAAAUUUUACUUGGAAAGGGCUCAUGUCAGGAUGAAAAAUAUGGCCAACCGAAGAAAAAGUGAUAGAGUGUUUGAGGUGGGAGACUGGGUCUAUGUGAAGCUUCAACCCUAUAGACGGCAUUCUGUUGUCAAUAGAAGCUGUCUCAAGUUAGCAGAGAAAUAUUUUGGACCUUGUCAGAUUUUGGAAAAAGUUGGGAAGGUGGCAUACAGACUAAAAUUGCCUCCAGGGUCUAAGAUACAUCCUACAUUCUAUGUCUCACAACUUAAGGGACAUGUUGGCAAGCACCCUGCGCAGCAGCAGCUACCAAUGGUGGGGGAAGAUGGAACUAUUGCAAAGGAACCCUUACAGAUCAUAGACAGGAGGUUGGGAAAAAAUGGAAAUAAGGCUGUUACGGGGUACUGGUGCACUAGACCAACUCCUUUCCUGAAGAUGCAAUGUGGGAGGUUCUUUAUGAGUUGCAGAACAAGUAUUCAGAUUUUCAUCCUUAAGGAGAAGGAUUUCUGUACCAGGGGAGUAUUGAUGGAAGUCUUACAUAAGUAGUUACAGUAGUUAGUUGGCUAUACUUGUGUAUGCAGUCAUUAGUGACAAUUCUGUCAUUUCAUUCAUAUUUCUGUUAUAGGGAGUUAGUUUAAAGAGGCAGUUGACAAUCAUUUGAGAAAAUUAAGAAAUGAAAACAGAAUUCUGGAG
rnacentral:lncRNA from 1 species